GUCCACACUGAGCACGGCUGCGCGAGCAUUUAAAAAGAACAUCAAUGAAGAAGCGCUCCUACCCUUCAGGGUUUGCAAAAAGACAAAAAAAGAAAGAAGAGGAAAAAUGCCAAGGACACAGUGCCUACUGAAGUUCACAGUUUGAGUCUGAG